rnacentral:rRNA from 1 species
GAGUUUGAUCCUGGCUCAGAACGAACGCUGGCGGCAUGCCUAAUACAUGCAAGUCGAACGAGACCUUCGGGUCUAGUGGCGCACGGGUGCGUAACGCGUGGGAAUCUGCCCUUGGGUUCGGAAUAACUUCGGGAAACUGAAGCUAAUACCGGAUGAUGACGAAAGUCCAAAGAUUUAUCGCCCAGGGAUGAGCCCGCGUAGGAUUAGCUAGUUGGUGGGGUAAAGGCUCACCAAGGCAACGAUCCUUAGCUGGUCUGAGAGGAUGAUCAGCCACACUGGGACUGAGACACGGCCCAGACUCCUACGGGAGGCAGCAGUAGGGAAUAUUGGACAAUGGGCGAAAGCCUGAUCCAGCAAUGCCGCGUGAGUGAUGAAGGCCUUAGGGUUGUAAAGCUCUUUUACCCGAGAUGAUAAUGACAGUAUCGGGAGAAUAAGCUCCGGCUAACUCCGUGCCAGCAGCCGCGGUA